rnacentral:rRNA from 1 species
GGUUACUGCUAUCGGUGUUCGCCUAAGCCAUGCGAGUCAUAUGUAGCAAUACAUGGCGUACUGCUCAGUAACACGUGGAUAACCUGCCCUUGGGUCCGGCAUAACCCCGGGAAACUGGGGAUAAUUCCGGAUAACGCAUAUAUGCUGGAAUGCUUUCUGCGUAAAAUGGAUUCGUCUGCCCAAGGAUGGGUCUGCGGCCUAUCAGGUAGUAGUGGGUGUAAUGUACCUACUAGCCUACGACGGGUACGGGUUGUGAGAGCAAGAGCCCGGAGAUGGAUUCUGAGACAUGAAUCCAGGCCCUACGGGGCGCAGCAGGCGCGAAAACUUUACAAUGCGGGAAACCGUGAUAAGGGGACACCGAGUGCCAGCAUCCUAUGCUGGCUGUCCGGGUGUGUAAAAUACACCUGUUAGCAAGGGCCGGGCAAGACCGGUGCCAGCCGCCGCGGUAACACCGGCGGCCCGAGUGGUGAUCGUGAUUAUUGGGUCUAAAGGGUCCGUAGCCGGUUUGGUCAGUCCUCCGGGAAAUCUGACAGCUCAACUGUUAGGCUUUCGGAGGAUACUGCCAGACUUGGAACCGGGAGAGGUAAGAGGUACUACAGGGGUAGGAGUGAAAUCUUGUAAUCCCUGUGGGACCACCUGUGGCGAAGGCGUCUUACCAGAACGGGUUCGACGGUGAGGGACGAAAGCUGGGGGCACGAACCGGAUUAGAUACCCGGGUAGUCCCAGCCGUAAACGAUGCUCGCUAGGUGUCAGGCAUGGCGCGACCGUGUCUGGUGCCGCAGGGAAGCCGUGA